rnacentral:rRNA from 1 species
AGAAUCAACGCUGGCGGCGUGCCUAACACAUGCAAGUCGAACGAGAAAGUGGAGCAAUCCAUGAGUAAAGUGGCGCACGGGUGAGUAACACGUGACUAACCUACCCUUGAGUGGGGGAUAACCUAGGGAAACCUGGGCUAAUACCGCAUAAUACCUUCGGGUCAAAGGAGCAAUUCGCUUAAGCGAGGGGUCGCGGCCGAUUAGUUAGUUGGCGGGGUAAUGGCCCACCAAGACGAUGAUCGGUA